CCUAAGGCCGGCGGGAGAAGUGUUGUUAAGGAACUCGGCAAAAUGACCCCGUAACUUCGGGAGAAGGAGUGCCAUAGAGAUAUGGCCGCAGAGAAAUGGCCCAAGCAACUGUUUAGCAAAAACACAGGUCUAUGCAAAACCGAAUGGUGAGGUAUAUGGGCUGACGCCUGCCCGGUGCUGGAAGGUUAAGAGGAGAGCUUAGCGCAAGCGAAGGUUUGAAUUUAAGCCCCAGUAAACGGCGGCCGUAACGAUAACGGUCCUAAGGUAGCGAAAUUCCUUGUCGGGUAAGUUCCGACCCGCACGAAAGGCGUAAUGAUUUGGGCACUGUCUCGACAACACACCCGGUGAAAUUGAAAUACCAGUGAAGAUGCUGGUUACCUGCGCCAGGACGGAAAGACCCCAUGGAGCUUUACUCCAGUUUGAUACUGGGAUUCGGUACUGUCUGUACAGGAUAGGUGGGAAGCUAGGAAAUGAUGACGCCAGUUGUCAUGGAGCUGACCUUGGGAUACCACCCUUACAGUACUGGGUUUCUAACCUGCAGCCGUGACCCGGCUGGGGGACAAUGUCUGACGGGGAGUUUGACUGGGGCGGUCGCCUCCGAAAGGGUAUCGGAGGCGCUCAAAGGUUCCCUCAGAAUGGUCGGAAACCAUUCGAAGAGUGCAAAGGCAGAAGGGAGCUUGACUGCGACACCGACGGGUGGAGCAGGUACGAAAGUAGGACUUAGUGAUCCGGUGGUAUAACGUGGGAUUGCCAUCGCUCAACGGAUAAAAGCUACCCUGGGAUAACAGGCUUAUCACUCCCAAGAGUUCACAUCGACGGAGUGGUUUGGCACCUCGAUGUCGGCUCAUCGCAUCCUGGAGCUGUAGCAGGUUCCAAGGGUUGGGCUGUUCGCCCAUUAAAGCGGUACGCGAGCUGGGUUCAGAACGUCGUGAGACAGUUCGGUCCCUAUCCGGCGUGGGCGUAGGAUAUUUGAGAGGAGCUGUCCUUAGUACGAGAGGACCGGGAUGGACGGACCGCUGGUGUAUCUGUUGUUGACCAACAGCAUGGCAGAGUAGCCAAGUCCGGCAGGGAUAAACGCUGAAGGCAUCUAAGCGUGAUGCCCCCCUCAAGAUUAGAUAUCCCAUUCUUUAAAGAAAUAAGACCCCUUGAAGACUACGAGGUUGAUAGGUCUGAGGUGUAAGUGCGGUAACGCAUUCAGCUGACAGAUACUAAUAGGUCGAAGACUUAU
rnacentral:rRNA from 1 species